rnacentral:rRNA from 1 species
GAGCGUUAAUCGGAAUUACUGGGCGUAAAGCGCAUGCAGGUGGUUUGUUAAGUCAGAUGUGAAAGCCGGGGCUCAACCUCGGAAUUGCAUUUGAAACUGGCAGGCUAGAGUACUGUAGAGGGGGGUAGAAUUUCAGGUGUAGCGGUGAAAUGCGUAGAGAUCUGAAGGAAUACCAGUGGCGAAGGCGGCCCCCUGGACAGAUACUGACACUCAGAUGCGAAAGCGUGGGGAGCAAACAGGAUUAGAUACCCUGGUAGUCCACGCCGUAAACGAUGUCUACUUGGAGGUUGUGGCCUUGAGCCGUGGCUUUCGGAGCUAACGCGUUAAGUAGACCGCCUGGGGAGUACGGUCGCAAGAUUAAAACUCAAAUGAAUUGACGGGGGCCCGCACAAGCGGUGGAGCAUGUGGUUUAAUUCGAUGCAACGCGAAGAACCUUACCUACUCUUGACAUCCAGAGAACUUUCCAGAGAUGGAUUGGUGCCUUCGGGAACUCUGAGACAGGUGCUGCAUGGCUGUCGUCAGCUCGUGUUGUGAAAUGUUGGGUUAAGUCCCGCAACGAGCGCAACCCUUAUCCUUGUUUGCCAGCGAGUAAUGUCGGGAACUCCAGGGAGACUGCCGGUGAUAAA